CUGGGCAAGGUGCGGGGCUAGGGCUAACAGCAGUCUUACUGAGGGUCUCCUGGAGACCACACACAUGCUGUUACCACUAACCUCAACCUUACUCCG
rfam:Rattus norvegicus chromosome 10, whole genome shotgun sequence.